CGGGGCGUGGCGCAGCCUGGUAGCGCAUCUGCUUUGGGAGCAGAGGGUCGUUGGUUCGAAUCCAGCCGCCCCGACCA
rnacentral:tRNA from 1 species